GAAAUGCGAUAAGUAGUGUGAAUUGCAGAAUUCAGUGAAUCAUCGAAUCUUUGAACGCACAUUGCGCCCCUUGGUAUUCCAUGGGGCAUGCCUGUUCGAGCGUCAUUUGUACCCUCAAGCUCUACUUGGUGUUGGGUGUUUGUCCCCGUCUCCGCGCGUGGACUCGCCCCAAAGUGAUUGGCAGCCGGCGUACUGGUCCCGGAGCGCAGCACAUGUCGCGCAAACGAGUGCCUUGGUACGGCGGCGUCCAUAAGCCCCUCUCUCACGCUCUUGACCUCGGAUCAGGUAGGGAUACCCGCUGAACUUAAGC
rnacentral:misc_RNA from 1 species